rnacentral:rRNA from 1 species
ACGGGAGGCAGCAGCUAAGAAUAUUGCACAAUGGGGGAAACCCUGAUGCAGCGACGCCGCGUGAGUGAAGAAGUAUCUCGGUAUGUAAAGCUCUAUCAGCAGGGAAGAAAAUGACGGUACCUGACUAAGAGGCCCCGGCUAACUACGUGCCAGCAGCCGCGGUAAUACGUAGGGGGCAAGCGUUAUCCGGAUUUACUGGGUGUAAAGGGAGCGUAGACGGCGAUGCAAGUCUGAAGUGAAAGGCGGGGGCUCAACCCUUGGACUGCUUUGGAAACUGUAUUGCUAGAGUGCAGGAGAGGUAAGUGGAAUUCCUAGUGUAGCGGUGAAAUGCGUAGAUAUUAGGAGGAACACCAGUGGCGAAGGCGGCUUACUGGACUGUAACUGACGUUGAGGCUCGAAAGCGUGGGGAGCAAACAGGAUUAGAUACCCUGGUA